rnacentral:snRNA from 1 species
UUAUGAUCAGCGGUACCA